UCCCUUCCAAACAGUAAAGUUCCUCUUUGUCUCUCAGUAGGAAAUUUAAACCAGACAGUACAAGGCUACAUUUCAGUGUUACAAGCCAAUCAGUUUGCUAAUUGUUCUGUGAGAUUUGUUUGCAAAGUUUAAGGUGUUAAGUAGGACUGUGAACAUCUGGGUCUGCUUGCUGCUGGCAUUCUGCCAGAGCCCCAGCAACAAGACCGCCUCCCAGCAACGAGACUGCCUGUCAGCCUUGCAAGCGUCUCAGCAACAACACUGCCUCCCAGCUUUGCAAGAUGCCGAGAAAAAAUAAAAGAUCCCAGGCACAAAAGAAGCGCUGGAAACCACUUGACCUGGUCGAUCCUGCUGUCCCAGUGCUCUCUGGCCACAACCAAGAUGAGGCAGUCAGUAGUUUUCCAUCUGACCAGACGGCACCAGCCGGGUUAUCUUUGGAAACACAGGAUGGACCCACCUCC